rnacentral:rRNA from 1 species
GUCGAGAAUCUUUCACAAUGGGGGCAACCCUGAUGGAGCGACGCCGCGUGGAGGAUAAGGUCUUCGGAUUGUAAACUCCUGUCAUGCGUGAACAAGGUUGCUUGGAUAAUACCUGAGCAAAUUGAUGGUAGCGCAAGAGGAAGAGACGGCUAACUCUGUGCCAGCAGCCGCGGUAAUACAGAGGUCUCAAGCGGUGUUCGGAAUCACUGGGCGUAAAGGGUGCGUAGGUGGCGUGGCAAGUCAGAUGUGAAAGCCCGGGGCUCAACACCGGAACUGCAUCCGAUACUGCCAUGCUAGAGUACUGGAGGGGUGACUAGAAUUCUCGGUGUAGCAGUGAAAUGCGUAGAUAUCGAGAGGAAUACCAGAGGCGUAGGCAGGUCACUGGACAGUUACUGACACUGAGGCACGAAGGCCAGGGGAGCGAACGGGAUUAGAUACCCUAGUAGUCC